UACGAAGGGGACUAGCGUUGUUCGGAAUUACUGGGCGUAAAGCGCACGUAGGCGGAUUUGUAAGUCAGGGGUGAAAUCCCGGGGCUCAACCUCGGAACUGCCUUUGAUACUGCAAAUCUCGAGUCCGAUAGAGGUAGGUGGAAUUCCUAGUGUAGAGGUGAAAUUCGUAGAUAUUAGGAAGAACACCGGUGGCGAAGGCGGCCCACUGGAUCGGUACUGACGCUGAGGUGCGAAAGCGUGGGGAGCAAACAGG
rnacentral:rRNA from 1 species